rnacentral:rRNA from 1 species
UACGUAGGGGGCUAGCGUUGUCCGGAAUCAUUGGGCGUAAAGAGCGUGUAGGCGGCUCGGUAAGUCCGCUGUGAAAGUCCAGGGCUCAACCCUGGAAUGCCAGUGGAAACUGUCGAGCUAGAGUCCGGAAGAGGCGAGUGGAAUUCCUGGUGUAGCGGUGAAAUGCGCAGAUAUCAGGAGGAACACCAAUGGCGAGGGCAGCUCGCUGGGACGGUACUGACGCUGAGACGCGAAAGCGUGGGGAGCAAACAGG